AGCGGCGAACGGGUGAGUAACACGUGGGUAACCUACCUGGAAGACAGGGAUAACGAUUCGAAAGGGUCGCUAAUACCUGAUAAUAUCUAACAGUCGGAUGGCAGUUAGAAGAAAGGGGAAACCCGCUUUCAGAUGGGCCCGCGUCCCAUCAGCUAGUUGGUAAGGUAAAGGCUUACCAAGGCGACGACGGGUAGCCGGUCUGAGAGGAUGUACGGCCACACUGGGACUGAGAUACGGCCCAGACUCCUACGGGAGGCAGCAGUUGGGAAUCUUAGGCAAUGGGCGAAAGCCUGACCUAGCGACGCCGCGUGAGGGAAGAAGGCCUUCGGGUCGUAAACCUCUGUCAUGGGGGACGAAGGAAGUGACGGUACCCCAAGAGGAAGCCCCUGCUAACUACGUGCCAGCAGCCGCGGUAAUACGUAGGGGGCGAGCGUUAUCCGGAAUUAUUGGGCGUAAAGGGCGAGUAGGCGGUCUGUUAAGUCAGGUGUGAAAUUUCAGGGCUCAACCCUGAAACUGCGCUUGAAACUGGCAGGCUAGAGGACAGGAGAGGGAAGUGGAAUUCCCGGUGUAGCGGUGGAAUGCGUAGAUAUCGGGAGGAACACCAGUGGCGAAGGCGGCUUCCUGGACUGUACCUGACGCUGAGGAGCGAAAGCUGGGGGAGCAAACAGGAUUAGAUACCCUGGUAGUCCCAGCUGUAAACGAUGAGUGCUAGGUGUGGAGGGCUACAAUCCUCCGUGCCGCAGUUAACGCAAUAAGCACUCCGCCUGGGGAGUACGGCCGCAAGGCUAAAACUCAAAGGAAUUGACGGAAGGGCGAAUU
rnacentral:rRNA from 1 species